rnacentral:rRNA from 1 species
UUCCAGACUCCUACGGGAGGCAGCAGUGAGGAAUAUUGGUCAAUGGUCGGGAGACUGAACCAGCCAAGCCGCGUGAGGGAUGAAGGUACAGAGUAUCGUAAACCUCUUUUGUCAGGGAACAAAGGCGGGGACGCGUCCCCGGAUGAGUGUACCUGAAGAAAAAGCAUCGGCUAACUCCGUGCCAGCAGCCGCGGUAAUACGUAGGUGGCGAGCGUUAUCCGGAAUUAUUGGGCGUAAAGGGUGCGCAGGCGGCAAGAAAAGCUUAAGGUGAAAGCGUGGGGCUCAACCCCAUAAAGCCUUAGGAACUAGCUUGCUAGAGUGCAGGAGAGGGCGAUGGAAUUCCAUGUGUAGCGGUAAAAUGCGUAGAUAUAUGGAGGAACACCAGUGGCGAAGGCGGUCGCCUGGCCUGUAACUGACGCUGAGGCACGAAAGCGUGGGGAGCAAAUAGGAUUAGAUACCCCUGUAGG